GAAAUGCGAUAAGUAAUGUCAAUUGCAGAAUUCAGUGAAUCAUCGAAUCUUUGAACGCACCUUGCGCUCCUUGGUAUUCCUUGGAGCAUGCCUGUUUGAGUAUCAUGAAAUCUUCAAAGUAAAUCUUUUGUUAACUCAAUUGGUUUCUACUUUGGUAUUGGAGGUCUUUGCAGCUUCACACCUGCUCCUCUUUGUUCAUUAGCUGGAUCUCAGUGUUAUGCUUGGUUCCACUCGGCGUGAUAAGUUAUCUAUCGCUGAGGACACUGUAAAAGGUGGCCAAGGUAAAUGCAGAUGAACCGCUUCUAAUAGUCCAUUGACUUGGACAAUACUUUUAUGAUCUGAUCUCAAAUCAGGUAGGACUACCCGCUGAACUUAAGC
rnacentral:misc_RNA from 1 species